CUUGUGCGCACCGGCGGACGGCUCAGUAACACGUCGGUAACCUACCCUCGGGAGGGGGAUAACCCCGGGAAACUGGGGCUAAUCCCCCAUAGGCCUGAGGUACUGGAAGGUCCUCAGGCCGAAAGGGGCUCUGCCCGCCCGAGGAUGGGCCGGCGGCCGAUUAGGUAGUUGGUGGGGUAACGGCCCACCAAGCCGAAGAUCGGUACGGGCCAUGAGAGUGGGAGCCCGGAGAUGGACACUGAGACACGGGUCCAGGCCCUACGGGGCGCAGCAGGCGCGAAACCUCCGCAAUGCGGGCAACCGCGACGGGGGGACCCCCAGUGCCGUGGCAUCGCCACGGCUUUUCCGGAGUGUAAAGAGCUCCGGGAAUAAGGGCUGGGCAAGGCCGGUGGCAGCCGCCGCGGUAAUACCGGCGGCCCGAGUGGUGGCC
rnacentral:rRNA from 1 species